rnacentral:rRNA from 1 species
GAGACCGAUAGCGCACAAGUAGAGUGAUCGAAAGAUGAAAAGCACUUUGAAAAGAGAGUUAAAAAGUACGUGAAAUUGUUGAAAGGGAAGCGCUCAUGACCAGACUUGGGCUUGGUUGAUCAUCCAGGGUUCUCCCUGGUGCACUCUUCCGGCCCAGGCCAGCAUCAGUUCGCUGUGGGGGAUAAAGGCUUCGGGAAUGUGGCUCCCUCGGGAGUGUUAUAGCCCGUCGUGUAAUACCCUGUGGCGGACUGAGGUUCGCGCAUUCGCAAGGAUGCUGGCGUAAUGGUCAUCAGCGACCCGUCUUGAAACACGGACCAAGGAGUCGUCUUCGUAUGCGAGUGUUCGGGUGUCAAACCCCUACGCGUAAUGAAAGUGAACGCAGGUGAGAGCUUCGGCGCAUCAUCGACCGAUCCUGAUGUUCUCGGAUGGAUUUGAGUAAGAGCAUACGGGGCCGGACCCGAAAGAAGGUGAACUAUGCCUGUAUAGGGUGAAGCCAGAGGAAACUCUGGUGGAGG